AAUUAAUCUUGAGUUAAAAUAUGUGGUGAAUAAAUAUGAAACAGGUGUUCAGGAUCUAAUCGAAUCACAGUUCCAUCUCAGAGUGUCAGGAACUAGGAUUGCCUAUUGAACACAUUGUCGAAGAGGUUGAAGAGCUAGAGAACACUGCACAAGACCGACAGACAGUAUUAAACGACAUUGAGGAGGAGCCUGAUGAAGCAGUAGAUGAUGUAGUGGGGCCUCCAGUAGAAGAAACAAGGCUUGCUUCUCCCCCACCUGAGCCAAUUAGAGCAACAGCAUCACCAGCUGAAGACUCAGAGGAAGAAGAGGAAGACGGUUCUGAUAGAUCAUCCAAUGCUGAAUCAGAACCAGAUCCAAUCACUCAACAGCCACAGUGCAGUAAUAAUGCUAGUGCGAUCCAUGAUGACACUCAGGAGAACGGAACAUUAACUGAGG